AAAUAAAAAAAAAAAAAAACCACAGACUCCACCCAAUAUAUUUAACUUUGAUCCAAACACACAGAGUGUCACUGACGGCAGGGCACAAUGCCACACGUCCAUAGUUUAUGCUUCCUGAAAAAUCUGAAUAUAAUUGACACGGGAAUUUCACUACUGUCUGACUCUCCAUCACAAAAGUGUUGCUAUUUUUUUGCUAGUUUUGACAUUUUGUGUUAGAAACCCAAAUGGCAAACCUUGGACCACUUGGCUGCCAUGCAGGAGAGCUAGAAACGUGGACGAAGCCAUGGGAACUGUCCUGAUAUUUCUAAAGGCAAACUUUACUUUUGGUUCUUCCAGUCAAAAAUCUUUAUCUCAAAGUGUUUGAAAUUGACACGGAAUUAAGUUCAAGUGAACCAAAAAGCAUGAAUGCCUUGUUUUUUCAAAACCAAAAUUCUGAUUUGAUGAUUAUCUUGACCUGCUUAUGUUUCCCCACCAAGCCAAAAGCUAAGCCAGAUCACCUUCACAAACCUAUUCAGCAAGAAUUAGUAGGAGAAAACAUGACAUGCAUGGAGCAAUAGCAGCUAAAGGCUCACACUAAUGCAGCCCAAGGGCAGAUCAUGUGAAAAGCACCACUAUAUCCCAUCAGAUUAAAGGAACUUAAGAUAUAGGCAUGAAUGUCCUUAUUGCACCCCGAUAGCUGCAGGGCACCAUACAAGAGAUUCAUACAGAGAGGUCAGCUCUAAUUUGUGUUGCAGGUAGCUCAAUACCAUGUUCUUUCCAUUUCCAUACAAUUUUGUAGAAGUCUCAGACCAAAGUACUCUAUUUCCAGACUGAGCCCAAGCAAGGACUUUCUGUAGGACUCCAACUGGUGUACUUCGACCCUAAUAUUCGGACCACAUAUUCUAACCUGAUCUUUAGUUUUGCAUGCCAUGCUGUAAGCAGGUACCUUAAAAAUAAAUCCAGUUCUGGCCACCCAUAGCAUUCAGUGAAUUUGAGCUGGAGAUAGAGAACCUGAUUCUUACCUAAAAAUCAGGAGGUGACACCUUACACUUCCCUAGCAGGGUCAUGUUAACUGAGCUGGCAGAUUUGAUAGAAUUAGAUUUCUCUGUUGAGCUGGUUCAGCACUGUGAUGUGUCAGCACAUCCAGCACUUCAGAUACGUAAGUUUAAGCCCUUGAUUGAAGAUCCAGCUUCCAGAAAUAAUGUUGUGUCCUUUAAAAGGAAUAAUCUUUGUUUUGGUGCAUCAACAGCUAGAAAGUAAUAACUUAAAGAAAUACACCAAUCUUGGAAAAAUUUCAGUAACAAUUUAUUCAGUCCAGAGGCAUUUUAAUCUUGCUUCCAACAUUCAGUUGAAUACUUAAACUUCCCUGUGCUGGUUUUUGCUCUGCAGAAAAACCCUCCAAGGAGAUGGGUAACAAUGUCUCCAGCUCAGAGGAGUUUUAGGGACACCCAAGGUACAUGCAGGUACCUCCAUGGCAGCAGCAGCCCUAUGACAGGCAGCAAAAUAUGGGGACGGUCAUCUUUGGUCCCAGUGGGCUCUCACCACAUCCAUUCCUCCUCAUGUUCUGUACUUCCCAGCAAUGUAUGUUGGACAAACCCAACCAACAUGAGCUUGUUGUAUUUUCCAUUAAGUAUUUCAGUUUGGUACUUAAAAAUCACACUGUGUUCAAGAUGCUGAAAGACAGAUUCCUACAGGUAGACAACUGCACUCUCCCUAUGCUCUGCGGAGAUCAAAUGUGCAGACCCUGAAGCUUGGGACAUGGCUCGCACAGUACACUGGAGCAGAUACCUGCAAGGCUAAAUGACUGUGAAUGAACUGCAAAGGCAUUUAUCCACUUUGGGAUAAAUGGGACCAGAUAUGGGACCAGAUGCAUCACAGCAGAACUUGAGAGGCACACAGGAGCUACCACCUUCCUGGUCACAAAAAUAAUUUGUCUGUAUGUUUCAUUCCCUUGUCCUACACAGAUGUUUUCUGGGGUCUGCUAACAGAAAGUUUCACACUGUGGUACCCAAUUCCACUCUAAUGUAUGAGCUGUCAAUUUGCAUACCUCUGACUUAUCAGCAUCUUCACUGAGCAGAUAACAAACAUUACACAUUCUGAUGCAAUGAAGCAGGACUACAUAAGUCAGACAGGGGCAAAGGAAUCCCUUCUCCUACAUGCACUCCCAUGCUUUAACCUUUACCAGUAAUCUCAGAUUAUAAGCAAAAAGAUAUCGCUGCUUCUCUCUUCCUGAUCAGAUACUUCCCCCAAGAAGGAGUUUGCCCCCUAAGUGAAAACAAGCAGCUUCUGGACGCCCAGCUUACAGUUGUGAUCUAUGCCAACAUCAUCUUUCUGAAAUAAAAAGGAGAAAGGAAAAAAAGUGUGCUGUAAGGGAAGGAGAAGGGCAGGAAGGAAGGAAAUCUGUCACUGAUUUAACUGUCUGCACAGAAAUGUUGCUUCAGAUGAGACACCCACAGCCUUGUGCACCCUUCUGCAAAGUAUAGAAUUGGUAGAACGUACAGAAAAGUAAGCCUGGUGCGAGGAAGGAAAAGUUAAAGCAAGUCUACUCACGGCAUCUGGCCAGCAAACCCAAACAAAAACGUGUGCUUAUCCGGCGUUCCUCAGCUGGCGCCAUAAAAAGCUCCACCAGGUGGUGGGAUUAACAGCAUGUUAAAUUUGCUGUGGAGCCGGAUCUGCUCUUAGAAGCACAUUUCUGCUUCACUACACCUCUGAAAACACUUCUGCAAGGCGUCCUUAAUAAAAAAGAGGAAUUACUGCUAUCAUUUAAUAGCAACAUUUGCAAUGUAUUUGAGAUAAAGGACGCCAUGGUAGCCAAGGGGAUGAAACUUCCAUCUGCAUGACCACGAUUUCCCCUCAAAUUACUCCCAGUUUUCCAGCAACAGAAAAGCAAAUUGAUUAGCUGAAGCAAAGCCUUAAACAAAAUGAUGCUUAGUGUUAAAAGUUACCUUUGCAGUUGCGAUUCUCAUACUAAUAUCAAGUUUGGAAGAAAAACUGCAAUCCAGGCUGCGUUCUCUUCCGGUUGGGAUGUGUGAAAAAUUGAUACAAACAGAGCAACUCACUGUUCCCAUGCACAAGCAAACCAUGCACAAACAGCAAGCCCAAAGAAUAUGGAAUUGGAUUAUUCUCUCUUUUUGCUUUCAGACAAUGCUCUCACGUGCUCCUAGCAGAAAAGUGCAACAAAAGUAUGUCUGACAGAAGCGUACUUGAAAAACCUAGUGGUAGAGAGACCAGAAGCUGCUUGGGUUGGGCUACAGAGUGUGGCUUUGUCACUGCUUAGGAUUUAAACCUGCUGAAAUGUUACUCCCCAGCAGCACCCAAAUGAAGCAAACAGAGUGAGGAAGUGGGAAGGGGAUACAGCAACAAGUUCCCCACGGACCGACAUGGAGGAUCUGCCGUCUCCAGGAUAACCAAGAAAGUGCAAAACAAGAAAACAACUCCCAAACUCUUUUAAUUCACACCCAACCAUUCAUAAGCUUGAAAAUUCAAAUCCAUUCAAAAUCAUCAUGCUCCCAGAAGGGACCUGAAGCACAGCUAAAAGUGGGACAGGUAGCCUGGGGCAAACCCCAGCUUCUAAGACAAGAGCAGCUUUGCCAAAGCAUUACAGCAGGCAGCAUCCCACAGGCUGAUCAAAAGAUCACACGGAACACUAAGCAGGGAUCCAAGUGGAGACCAAGUAGGGAUCCAACUAUUCCAAAGCAAAUACUCUGCACAGAGCCAGCCUCCAGCUAAAGCCAUGUGCCUAACACACAGGCGGAGAGCGCACUUCCAGCUGUCAAGUGGCAGGAAGGCUCCAGUAAGGGGCAAUGCUUCUUUGUGCCUUCUGCCAGCGGAGAGCACCAACGCUCAGGAGCAAUGCAUGAGGAUGGGAUCGAAAUAAAAGGCUAAGAUCCACCACGGCACGCACCAACUGUUGGCUAGAAGAGACACCAAGAGCGCUAUGAACAGCUGACAAACUGCUGACCUCGAAGAUUAGUUAUUUACACUGCGCUGGAAAUUAAUACUGCCGGCGGAGAUGUGUGGGUACCUAAGGUCCGCUUCCUUCCUCUAACGGAGCAAUACCGGCAGAGCGAGGAA